rnacentral:lncRNA from 1 species
AGAGUGGUGUAAAAAAAUAGGAAAUGGGGGUUCAGAAACAAGAAAUGUCACAUACAGGCAGAAGCAAAAGAAAAGGCUUUUUGGAUCCUGUUCUGUUUAAACUGAGUCUUUCAAGGAUGGCAGGACUUGGAGAUGUAGACAUGGAGAAGAAGGUGUUCAGGACACAAAGAACAAGAGCUGGGACAACACGUGGGCUGGAAAAGGAUGGAAUAGGUAUGGAGUUGACACAUUUAAUGGAGAGACUGCUCCAUUUGCCCCAUCAGAGGUAUCCAGUGGCAGACAUACCUUCCAGUAAACUUGGAGGUGAUAUUAGAAGAAGCUUCCAGCACCUCUGCUGAGCAAGACAGGUUUGGCUCCUUGCAGAAUGUUCUGGUAAUAAUCUGCUGAUUUCAUGAAGGAAUUUGCAAGUUUAAUUUUAAAGAUCUGGAAUAUUUUAAACAGCACUGGAACUUGUUGUUCAGUUCUGAGUCAUGUCUGACUCUUUGGCCCCAUGAACUGCAGCACUCAGGCUUCCCUGUUCCUUCACUGUCUCCUGGAGUUUGCUCAGAUUCAUGUCAAUUGAAUCAGUGAUGCUAUCUAACCAAUUUAUCCUCUGCUGCCCUCUUCUCCUUUUGCCUUCAAACUUUCCUAGCAUCAG